ACUCAAAUGAAUUGACGGGGGCCCGCACAAGCAGCGGAGCAUGUGGUUUAAUUCGACGCGACGCGAAGAACCUUACCUGGGCUUGACAUGUUUCUGACCACCGUGGAAACACGGUUUCUCUUCGGAGCAGAAUCACAGGUGGUGCAUGGCUGUCGUCAGCUCGUGUCGUGAGAUGUUGGGUUAAGUCCCGCAACGAGCGCAACCCCCGUCGCAUGUUGCCAGCAUUAAGUUGGGGACUCAUGCGAGACUGCCGGUGACAAACCGGAGGAAGGUGGGGAUGACGUCAAGUCAUCAUGCCCCUUAUGUCCAGGGCUACACACGUGCUACAUUGGCGCAUACAGAGGGCUGCAAGACCGUGAGGUGGAGCGAAUCCCUUAAAGUGCGUCUCGGUUCGGAUUGUAGGCUGAAACUCGCCUACAUGAAGGUGGAGUUGCUAGUAAUCGCGGAUCAGCAUUGCCGCGGUGAAUACGUUCCCGGGCCUUGCACACACCGCCCGU
rnacentral:rRNA from 1 species